rnacentral:tRNA from 1 species
GCAGGGAUAGCUCAGUUGGGAGAGUGUUAGACUGAAGAUCUAAAGGUCCCUGGUUCAAUCCCGGGUCGAGGCA